rnacentral:lncRNA from 1 species
AAGCAACCACGCAGCAAAAGGGGAAUAACAAAAAAUAGGAGAGGAAAAAAGAGAUUUUAUUUUAUUUUGUUUAUUUCUUUUUUUCAUUUUCGGCUAUAACUACCGAUUACAAACCUGUAAACGGAGGAUACGAAAUCAAUACAAAAAGAAAUCAAAAUAUCAGAAAGAAGGGGGUUUUUUCUUUUCCUUCUGUUCUUUUUCUGCAUUUU